GAUGAACGCUGGCGGCGUGCCUAAUACAUGCAAGUCGAACGCGCAGCGAAAGGUGCUUGCACCUUUCAAGCGAGUGGCGAACGGGUGAGUAACACGUGGAUAACCUGCCUCAAGGCUGGGGAUAACAUUUGGAAACAGAUGCUAAUACCGAAUAAAACUUAGUAUCGCAUGAUACAAAGUUAAAAGGCGCUACGGCGUCACCUAGAGAUGGAUCCGCGGUGCAUUAGUUAGUUGGUGGGGUAAAGGCUUACCAAGACGAUGAUGCAUAGCCGAGUUGAGAGACUGAUCGGCCACAUUGGGACUGAGACACGGCCCAAACUCCUACGGGAGGCUGCAGUAGGGAAUCUUCCACAAUGGGCGCAAGCCUGAUGGAGCAACGCCGCGUGUGUGAUGAAGGCUUUCGGGUCGUAAAGCACUGUUGUAUGGGAAGAAAUGCUAAAAUAGGGAAUGAUUUUAGUUUGACGGUACCAUACCAGAAAGGGACGGCUAAAUACGUGCCAGCCGCCGCUGUAAGAC
rnacentral:rRNA from 1 species